rnacentral:lncRNA from 1 species
UGUCAAAUUUGGUGUCAUAAAGUAGAUAAUCUUAAAAAUCCUGUUUUCAGAAAAGAAUCACUCAAUUUGUCAUAGAUGGAUGGAUUGUUGUUACAUACACAGAGACAAAAUUGGGCGUUGGGACGGGAUGGUUGGGGAGGCAUGAGAUGGGUGAGCUGAGUUGGAAGGAACAACAAUCCUCCAUGUUUUAUGGCUGUGACCCUCAUUUCCCCUCUCACUAGCGGACUGCUCUAGCUAAUUAGCAAAUCAAAAGAAAUAGAAACAAUUCUAGACCUCAGCACAAUCAAAUUAGUGGAGUUAUUCGAGGAUAUCAUUUUCACACAGUGCAAUCAUGCUCUCUUUGUUUUGGUCAAACGAGUGAAAAUUAUCUUUCAAACCCAACGCCCUUCCCUCUACCCAACUGGCUCUGUGGAUAGUGGCAUUUCCUAUCUGCUCUCAUAAGUUUUACAGAUGAUCUUUUUCUAUUAAGACAGGAAUGUGCAAUGCACAAUUAAACAAUACCCAACAAGCUUCCCUUUUAAAAAUACAUUUGACUUUUAAGGUGAUUCAGCAGUAAGAGCCAUUAGUACCUCAUCUAAAUCAGGACUUGGAAAGUUUAUUAAAAUUGGAUUUUUAACCUGAUCCCAAUUUCCUUUGUGGAUAAAGAGUCCCACUGGAGUCUUUAAUAUUCAUGCUAUUAACCUGAAAGAUUCAAACAGCCAUGAUGGGAAGAAAGGCUAUACAGGGCUGCCCACUAGACUGGGGGUU